UACGGAGGGGGGCGAGCGUUGUUCGGAUUUACUGGGCGUAAAGGGUGUGUAGGCGGCUGGAUAAGUCUGGUGUGAAAUCUUCACCGCUCAACGGGGAAGGGGGUCACUGGAAACUGUCCAGCUUGAGUAUGGUAGAGGCAAGCGGAAUUCCUGGUGUAGCGGUGGAAUGUGUAGAUAUCAGGAAGAACACCGGUGGCGAAGGCGGCUUCUGGGCCAUCACUGACGUGAGACACGAAAGCGUGGGGGAGCAAAACGGGG
rnacentral:rRNA from 1 species